UGGCCCAGGGCGGAGCGAACUGAUUACAAGCUUGCUUCUAUGACGUUAGCGGCGGACGGGUGAGUAACACGUGGGCAACCUGCCUGUAAGACUGGGAUAACUUCGGGAAACCGAAGCUAAUACCGGAUAGGAUCUUCUCCUUCAUGGGAGAUGAUUGAAAGAUGGUUUCGGCUAUCACUUACAGAUGGGCCCGCGGUGCAUUAGCUAGUUGGUGAGGUAACGGCUCACCAAGGCAACGAUGCAUAGCCGACCUGAGAGGGUGAUCGGCCACACUGGGACUGAGACACGGCCCAGACUCCUACGGGAGGCAGCAGUAGGGAAUCUUCCGCAAUGGACGAAAGUCUGACGGAGCAACGCCGCGUGAGUGAUGAAGGCUUUCGGGUCGUAAAACUCUGUUGUUAGGGAAGAACAAGUACGAGAGUAACUGCUCGUACCUUGACGGUACCUAACCAGAAAGCCACGGCUAACUACGUGCCAGCAGCCGCGGUAAUACGUAGGUGGCAAGCGUUAUCCGGAAUUAUUGGGCGUAAAGCGCGCGCAGGCGGUUUCUUAAGUCUGAUGUGAAAGCCCACGGCUCAACCGUGGAGGGUCAUUGGAAACUGGGGAACUUGAGUGCAGAAGAGAAAAGCGGAAUUCCACGUGUAGCGGUGAAAUGCGUAGAGAUGUGGAGGAACACCAGUGGCGAAGGCGGCUUUUUGGUCUGUAACUGACGCUGAGGCGCGAAAGCGUGGGGAGCAAACAGGAUUAGAUACCCUGGUAGUCCACGCCGUAUACGAUGAGUGCUAAGUGUUAGAGGGUUUCCGCCCCUUUAGUGCUGCAGCUAACGCAUUAAGCACUCCGCCCUGGGGGAGUACGGUCGCAAGAACUGAAACUCAUAGGGAAUUGACGGGGGCCCGCACAAUCGGUGGGAGGAUGUGGUUUUCUUCUAAAGCAACUUCUAAGAUCCUUUCCAGGUUUUGACAUCC
rnacentral:rRNA from 1 species